GCCAUUUCCUGCCCAAUACCGCGGAUGCAACUGGCAUGGGACCCGGAAGUGUGUGGUAAAGCGCCGGGGCUUCGCCUGGCCGCCCCUCCCGGACGCUUGCCUGCAGUCAGCGAAGCUUUUCCAACCCAGGUCUGGGCCCUGCGAGCUCCAGGUGCCUCUGCCCCGCGGCGCUGGCGAAGUCGAAGCCCGAGAACGCCCACCGCAGCGAUGCGAAGGCCGCUUCUGGGGUGGGGCUGAGGCUGCAGCUGCCUCCCUUUCGCACCAAGGACCCCAACCUUCAGCGACGCAGCCGCCGCUCCCGCCCAGGCUGGGAGGCACUGUAGGGAUCCGACGCUUCAGGUGGCCAAAGAGCGACUUUCUCUGAUUCCAGGGCCCUGGCGGGGCAGGCUCCAGUACCGCACUCGGCGGAGGCCGAAGGUCUGUGGGGCAGGACAGGAGUUCCUCGUGCCGUCGGAAGGGCCGAGGACGAAGGAGGGCGCUAAUUCACUCCCCACUGGGCUGGCGGCAACGCCGAAUCCCGCAGUGACCGCGGAGGGCCAAGGUGAAAACUGCUGGGGGCGCCGAGGGCAGGUGUGGGGAGGGGCGGCUCCAGGGAGCAAGGAGCCCACCUGCCUCGCCGCCGCAGCUGCCCUGGGUCGACCGCCCACGCUUUCCCCUGGGUCACGACCUCCGGAUCCAACUGUGCCCGGCUCCUGCCCCUUCCCCUUUGCUGCUGCUGCGCGGGCUGUAACUUGACGUCUAGGCUGGGGCGUCCAGGGCGCAGUCUCCGCUCAGGUCGCCAGCGCUCCACUCGCUCCACUGGGCCACAGACCCGCUGGCGCUGGGGUCCCGCUGGCGCUGGGGUCCCGCUGGCGCUGGGGUCCCGCUGGCGCUGGGGUCCCGCUGGCGCUGGGGUCCCGCUGGCGCUGGGGUCCCGCUGGCGCUGGGGUCCCGCGGUUGUGCACGUGAGUCCGCGUGGCCCCGUCCCGCGCGGUUGUGCACGUGAGUCCGCGCGGCCGCGUCCCGCCCCGCUCCAGGGAGCCAGCGCGCCGCCACCUGGGAUGUUAGGACUCUCGUUGUGUUCUUUGGACUGCUUUGGGGGAUUUCGGCGUACCCCUAGGAUCUAGGAGUUUUGGAAGUUGUUUGAGAGAAACCAGCUCUGGGAGGGCCUCGCAUCCAGUCUCCUGUCUCGGCUUCGGACCGGGGUUCCGGGUUAAGGUGCAGGCUGCCCCAUGGAUGCCACACGUGGCAGCGGGGAGAAAAGAAGUGAUUCGGUCCCUGCCGAGGGUUGCUGCCACCCACGCACUGCUGGCGGACUCAGUGCCAGGCAGCCUUGAUGGCCAGGCAACGUCUAACCCAGGAGGUGGGACACAUCCUCGGAGUCACCAGUGAGAUGUGGCGAGCUGGGAGAAAAGUCGGCUUCCUGCAUUUGUCACCUUCUGCCUCCAGCCAUGGUAGUAAACCACCGCGGCCAGUCCCGACCCAUCCCGGAUCCCUCGGGUCUCACCUGCAGGUCCUCCAGACCGGGGGCCGCCGCCAGCCCCGGAAGGCCGAGAGGAACUGCUUCACAAGAUUAAAGGAGAAACAGAAAAUGUAUCUAGCGCUGUGCUUGGGGCAUGGCAGGAACUCAAUGAAUGCUUAUUAAAUACUGUAAAUGAUAAACACA
rnacentral:lncRNA from 1 species